GGUGCAGUGGUUAAAGUGCUCGGCUGCUAACCGAGAGGUUGGGGGUUUGAACCCACCAGCUCCU
rnacentral:tRNA from 1 species